AUUGAACGCUGGCGGCAUGCUUUACACAUGCAAGUCGAACGGUAACAGGCCGCAAGGUGCUGACGAGUGGCGAACGGGUGAGUAAUGCAUCGGAACGUGCCCAGUCGUGGGGGAUAACGCAGCGAAAGCUGCGCUAAUACCGCAUACGAUCUAUGGAUGAAAGCGGGGGACCGUAAGGCCUCGCGCGAUUGGAGCGGCCGAUGUCAGAUUAGGUAGUUGGUGGGGUAAAGGCUCACCAAGCCAACGAUCUGUAGCUGGUCUGAGAGGACGACCAGCCACACUGGGACUGAGACACGGCCCAGACUCCUACGGGAGGCAGCAGUGGGGAAUUUUGGACAAUGGGCGCAAGCCUGAUCCAGCAAUGCCGCGUGCAGGAAGAAGGCCUUCGGGUUGUAAAGCUCUGUCGGGAGGGACGAACGGUCUCGGGUAAUGCCGAGGAUUGACGGUACCUCCAAAGGAAGCACCGGCUAACUCUGUGCCAGCCGCCGCCGUAACAC
rnacentral:rRNA from 1 species